ACAACUCUCCACUUGUGCAACUAAGGCGAGACACACUCUGAAAGCUUUCAGCCAACGCACAAACCAUAGUUGCUAUAAAAAAAAGCUGACUAAACAGCACAGCUUGAACUAAGCGAGUCGACAGAUGGCGCCACACAGACGAUUUGCGCUGGAUUCUUAAGAAGACAAGAUUGCGCUGGAUAAUGCCUCCUUUAUGUCCACCAAUGGAAGAUACACAUUUUGGAUUGUGGACCAGCGUUUCGUUUACAGCUUUACCGCCUGGAAGAAAGAUUUACGACAGUUUUCAAUGCUCAUAGCCGCAUUUUUGCCUUGCUUUGUGGAACAGAGAUAUUCAGAAACGACCUGAUUUUUCGAAAAAUUGUGAUGUAAGCCCUUGUCAAUUCGGUCAUUAAACAAGUCGCAAGUGCUGAAAAGCCGUUCGACAAAUUCGAGAGGAGCACCUGGCGCCAAAUAAUAACGGAUGAUGUUGCAAAUCAAUGCUCCUCGCGUGGGACGAAGAAAAAAUGUGUGUUAGAGGCCUUCAAAUCACAUUAGAAAUACGAAGCUAGCAUUACUUUUAUAACCUGUA